rnacentral:ncRNA from 1 species
GGCCACCUACGGGGGGCUAUCACAUAGGCAGGAAUACCUGCCGUUUGCUAACGGAAGACAGAAA